GAAAGUGGUGAGGAGAUGUUGAUGAUGCCUACUUGCUUGGCUGCUACGGUGAUGCAUGCACCGAUGAAGCAAGCACAGAUGCAAGGCUGGCCCCAUGUAUCUUGCUUGGCUGCGAACAUCAUCUACAGGAUAGCAGUAUGACCAGGACAAGCUACAAGCUCCCAGCGCGUCUGAUCCAGGGUGAAUGGCCAUGGUCACGAGCUCCUCAGGAUCAAAAUAGGAUGGCAAGUUGUGGCAGCUAGAGCAUGUCGCAUAAGAGAGAGCAAUGAAAUCCAUUGUACUGUUCCGUUAAAAAAAGUACAUUGUGCUGUUAUGAUAGUAGCAGAUUUGCCAUCUUUCUUAUUGUAUAGUCCUGUGUAAGGAAAUGUAUUCCUGAGAUGAUUUUUGUGUUAUGUAAACCUGGGAGAUAUUUUGUUUUUGUGUUAUGUAAACCUGGGAGUUUUCCUAAUUUGAAUGAAAUAAUGUUGGAUGUA